GUUCCCUUUUUUUUUGAGCAGUGUACAUCCCCACAGAGCUGCCUGCCUGGAUGUAGACCCUUGUUGAAGAUUGGCUUUCUCUAAAGCUGAAACUGGUGGAGCAGCCUCUCUAGGCUCUGGAGCAUGGAACUCCUUCAGAGUUGUCAUCACCCAGUUUUGUGGGGCUGCCUGCUCCAAACAGAUAUACAGCUGUGUCUGACUCUUUCCAUUUCCCUCUGACUGAUUUAACUGAACUCCAGGUGAUGUUCAGUGACUUGGGAAUGUUUCUGAUUUUUGCUUUUUCUUUUGGAUUAGAUAGAUAAAGAUUAUUAAUCUUUUUUUGCUGAGUUGUUUGGAGUGUUCCUUUGUCUUCAUAUUGUAGGAUUUGCCACAACACUGACUUCCCAAAAGUUGGACCAUCCAAAUACAGAUUUCUCCAAACCACGAGAGUGAGCAAACUGACGCCCAUGUGUCACGCUACUACAAAUCUACUAAUGAAUGCAAAUUGUGACAGAAUUAAAGAGCUUGUCUCCCUGGUCCACUCUGAAGCGUGUUCUCUGCUGCUACACAUGCGUCCCAGACAGACAUCUCUUGACCCUGCGAACCUGAAGUGCCCUCUCUUCUGUAGCACCCUUGUCUACACACACCCCACACUCCGACGUGUACAUUCCACUGGACGAUGUCAGGCCAGGGCAGUCUGGCAACAGUCUGUCAAACAGCGGGCUUAUGACUGUCUGGGUGGCUAAAAAACAAGAAGAUCUGGACUAAAAACCAGCAGGCAAUCCUGCCUGGUCACUUUGGUGCAAGUGUACAACAAGGGGUCGGGUAGGAAAUAGUGUAGCACUUUCGAGGGAGGAGGGGGACUAGAGGAUUAGAUGUUUAUUCCGAGCCCUGUUACCCAUUCUUGGCCCUCUCCAGCAGAUUAAAAUUAUUAGCCAAACAGACAGUUAAUCCGGGGGCUGGAGGGGGGGGGUUGGCGUGGAUGUGGAUUGGGGCAGGCUCUUCACAGGUUGGUGAUUAUCUGAUUCCAUUGCGAGGAUUUGCCUUGCCUUUUUUGUCACACAAACAUUAGAAGAGGGGAGCUCUGACUGGCUGCCCAGAAGGCCCUGCCAGUGGUGGUUGUGUAUUGGGGCGGUGUUUGCUUAGAGAUGUCAGACAGACUGAAGGGGCACACAGGAAGAGCAAAUGACAGAUGACCACCAGACCCGCUCACUGCUGCCUGCAGCUUAUAAACAGGACAAAUUAUUAAUUAGUGCUUUAGAGCUGAUACCACAUGACACAGUCCAUGCAUGACAGGUACUGAA